AGAGUUUGAUCCUGGCUCAGGACGAACGCUGGCGGCGUGCUUAACACAUGCAAGUCGAACGGGAAGAGAUGAAGAGCUUGCUCUUUAUCGAAUCCAGUGGCAAACGGGUGAGUAACACGUAAACAACCUGCCUUCAGGAUGGGGACAACAGACGGAAACGACUGCUAAUACCGAAUACGUUCCACGGGCCGCAUGACCUGUGGAAGAAAGGGUAGCCUCUACCUGUAAGCUAUCGCCUGAAGAGGGGUUUGCGUCUGAUUAGGCAGUUGGUGGGGUAACGGCUCACCAAACCAACGAUCAGUAGCCGGUCUGAGAGGAUGAACGGCCACACUGGAACUGAGACACGGUCCAGACUCCUACGGGAGGCAGCAGUGGGGAAUCUUCCGCAAUGGACGAAAGUCUGACGGAGCAACGCCGCGUGAGUGAAGACGGCCUUCGGGUUGUAAAGCUCUGUGAUCCGGGACGAAAGAGCCUGAGGUAAAUAGCCUAAGGAAGUGACGGUACCGGAAAAGCAAGCCACGGCUAACUACGUGCCAGCAGCCGCGGUAAUACGUAGGUGGCAAGCGUUGUCCGGAAUUAUUGGGCGUAAAGCGCGCGCAGGCGGCUUCCUAAGUCCAUCUUAAAAGUGCGGGGCUUAACCCCGUGAUGGGAUGGAAACUGGGAAGCUGGAGUAUCGGAGAGGAAAGUGGAAUUCCUAGUGUAGCGGUGAAAUGCGUAGAGAUUAGGAAGAACACCGGUGGCGAAGGCGACUUUCUGGACGAAAACUGACGCUGAGGCGCGAAAGCGUGGGGAGCAAACAGGAUUAGAUACCCUGGUAGUCCACGCCGUAAACGAUGGAUACUAGGUGUAGGAGGUAUCGACCCCUUCUGUGCCGGAGUUAACGCAAUAAGUAUCCCGCCUGGGAAGUACGAUCGCAAGAUUAAAACUCAAAGGAAUUGACGGGGGCCCGCACAAGCGGUGGAGUAUGUGGUUUAAUUCGACGCAACGCGAAGAACCUUACCAGGUCUUGACAUUGAUCGCAAUUUUCAGAAAUGAGAAGUUCUCCUUCGGGAGACGAGAAAACAGGUGGUGCACGGCUGUCGUCAGCUCGUGUCGUGAGAUGUUGGGUUAAGUCCCGCAACGAGCGCAA
rnacentral:rRNA from 1 species